CUAGUAAUCGUGGAUCAGAAUGCCACGGUGAAUACGUUCCCGGGCCUUGUACACACCGCCCGUCACACCAUGGGAGUGGGUUGCAAAAGAAGUAGGUAGCUUAACCUUCGGGAGGGCGCUUACCACUUUGUGAUUCAUGACUGGGGUGAAGUCGUAACAAGGUAACCGUAGGGGAACCUGCGGUUGGAUCACCUCCUUA
rnacentral:rRNA from 2 species